rnacentral:rRNA from 1 species
GUUGGAGCUUGACGGUAUGUAAGAAUAAGGAUCGGCUAACUCCGUGCCAGCAGCCGCGGUAAUACGGAGGAUCCAAGCGUUAUCAAAAAUCAUUGGGUUUAAAGGGUCCGUAGGCGGUUUAGUAAGUCAGUGGUGAAAGCCCAUCGCUCAACGGUGGAACGGCCAUUGAUACUGCUAAACUUGAAUUAUUAGGAAGUAACUAGAAUAUGUAGUGUAGCGGUGAAAUGCUUAGAGAUUACAUGGAAUACCAAUUGCGAAGGCAGGUUACUACUAAUGGAUUGACGCUGAUGGACGAAAGCGUGGGUAGCGAACAGGAUUAGAUACCCUGGUAGUCCACGCCGUAAACGAUGGAUACUAGCUGUUGGAAGCAAUUUCAGUGGCUAAGCGAAAGUGAUAAGUAUCCCACCUGGGGAGUACGUUCGCAAGAAUGAAACUCAAAGGAAUUGACGGGGGCCCGCACAAGCGGUGGAGCAUGUGGUUUAAUUCGAUGAUACGCGAGGAACCUUACCAAGGCUUAAAUGUAGAUUGACCGGUUU